UCUGGUGGCUCGUCGCGGGGGUCACACCUGUUCUCAUUCCGAACACAGAAGUUAAGCCCCGUUGAGGCGAUGAUACCUUUUUGGAAGGGAAAGUAGCUAGCCGCCGGUA
rnacentral:rRNA from 1 species